rnacentral:rRNA from 1 species
AACCUGGUUGAUCCUGCCAGUAGUCAUAUGCUUGUUUCAAGGACUAAGCCAUGCAAGUCUCAGAGUAAAUGGAUCAUAGUAGGUCUGCAGACAGCUCAUUAAAUCAGCUUCAAUCUACGCGGAGACACUGCCUUUGGGCAGACUAUUGGAUAACUUUGGUAACCCCAAAGCUAAUACAUGUCAGCAAAACCCGCACAGAUUCAACCUCGGUGCCUUGGUACUGGGGCUGUGUUGGGUGCAAUUGACCGGAACAAAAACCAACGCUAGCAAUAGCAGCGGUGAUUGGAUGACUCAGGUCAAUCGAGUAGUAGCGCAUACCUCGGUGGCGCUUGUCCGCAUGAGAAUCUGCCCUAUCAGCUUUUGACGGUAGUGUAGUGGACUACCGUGGCUGUAACGGGUAACGGGGAAUUAGGGUUCGAUUCCGGAGAGGGAGCCUGAGAAACGGCUACCACAACUAAGGUUGGCAGCAGGCGCGCAAAUUGCCCAAUAGCAACACAUAGCUGAGGCAGCGAAGAGAAAUAGCAACUUCAUGCGGCCCUGCCGUGUGAAGAUUGCCAUGGACGAUAUCUAAACCUGUCGGUGAGUAUCUAUUGGUGGACAAGUCUGGUGCCAGCACCCGCGGUAAUUCCAGCACCAAUAGC